rnacentral:rRNA from 1 species
CAGUAGCCGCGGUAAUACGAAGGGUGCAAGCGUUACUCGGAAUUACUGGGCGUAAAGCGUGUGUAGGUGGUUGUUUAAGUCUGUCGUGAAAGCCCUGGGCUCAACCUGGGAAUUGCGAUGGAUACUGGGCGACUAGAGUGCGGUAGAGGAUAGUGGAAUUUCCGGUGUAGCAGUGAAAUGCGUAGAGAUCGGAAGGAACAUCUGUGGCGAAGGCGACUAUCUGGGCCAACACUGACACUGAGACACGAAAGCGUGGGGAGCAAACAGGAUUAGAUACCCCCGUAGUCCCUGUCUCUUAUAC